rnacentral:rRNA from 1 species
AUAAGCGUACACGGUGGAUGCCUAGGCAAUCAGAGGCGAUGAAGGACGUGCUAAUCUGCGAUAAGCGUCGGUAAGGUGAUAUGAACCGUUAUACCCGACGAUUUCCGAAUGGGGAAACCCAAUAUCCAAUGGAUAUUAUCAUUACGUGAAUACAUAGCGUAAUGAAGCGAACCGGGAGAACUGAAACAUCUCAGUACCCCGAGGAAAAGAAAUCAACCGAGAUUCCCCUAGUAGCGGCGAGCGAACGGGGAACAGCCCAGAGUCUUAAUCAAUAGCAGCAUCAGGAGAACGGUCUGGAAAGUCCGGCAGUAAAGGGUGAUAGCCCCGUAUCCGAAGAUGCUGUUGUUGUGAACUCGACGAGUAGGGCGGGACACGUGUUAUCCUGUCUGAAUAUGGGGGGACCAUCCUCCAAGGCUAAAUACUCCUGAUUGACCGAUAGUGAACCAGUACCGUGAGGGAAAGGCGAAAAGAACCCCGGCGAGGGGAGUGAAAAAGAACCUGAAACCGUGUACGUACAAGCAGUAGGAGCCUCUUUAUGGGGUGACUGCGUACCUUUUGUAUAAUGGGUCAGCGACUUAUAUUCUGUAGCAAGGUUAACCGUAUAGGGGAGCCGUAGGGAAACCGAGUCUUAACUGGGCGAAUGAGUUGCAGGGUAUAGACCCGAAACCCGGUGAUCUAUCCAUGGGCAGGUUGAAGGUUGGGUAACACUAACUGGAGGACCGAACCGACUAAUGUUGAAAAAUUAGCGGAUGACUUGUGGAUGGGGGUGAAAGGCCAAUCAAACCGGGAGAUAGCUGGUUCUCCCCGAAAGCUAUUUAGGUAGCGCCUCGUGAAUUCAUCUUCGGGGGUAGAGCACUGUUUCGACUAGGGGGUCAUCCCGACUUACCAACUCGAUGCAAACUGCGAAUACCGAAGAAUGUUAUCACGGGAGACACACGGCGGGUGCUAACGUCCGUCGUGAAGAGGGAAACAACCCAGACCGCCAGCUAAGGUCCCAAAGUCAUGGUUAAGUGGGAAACGAAGUGGGAAGGCUCAGACAGCCAGGAUGUUGGCUUAGAAGCAGCCAUCAUUUAAAGAAAGCGUAAUAGCUCACUGGUCGAGUCGGCCCGCGCGGAAGAUGUAACGGGGCUAAACCAUGCACCGAAGCUGCGGCAGCGACACUAAGUGUUGUUGGGUAGGGGAGCGUUCUGUAAGCCUGCGAAGGUGUACUGUGAGGUAUGCUGGAGGUAUCAGAAGUGCGAAUGCUGACAUAAGUAACGAUAAUGCGGGUGAAAAACCCGCACGCCGGAAGACCAAGGGUUCCUGUCCAACGUUAAUCGGGGCAGGGUGAGUCGACCCCUAAGGCGAGGCUGAAAAGCGUAGUCGAUGGGAAACGGGUUAAUAUUCCCGUACUGGUGGUAACUGCGAUGGGGGAACGGAGAAGGCUAGGUUGUCCGGGCGACGGUCGUCCCGGUUCAAGCAUGUAGGCAGAGUGAUUAGGCAAAUCCGGUCACUUAAUGCUGAGGUGUGAUGACGAGCCACUAAGGUGGUGAAGCAAUUGAUGCCCUGCUUCCAGGAAAAGCCUCUAAGCUUCAGGUUACCAACAAUCGUACCCCAAACCGACACAGGUGGUCAGGUAGAGAAUACUCAGGCGCUUGAGAGAACUCGGGUGAAGGAACUAGGCAAAAUGGUGCCGUAACUUCGGGAGAAGGCACGCUGGCGGUAAGUGAAGUCCCUUGCGGACGGAGCCGAAGCCAGUCGAAGAUACCAGCUGGCUGCAACUGUUUAUUAAAAACACAGCACUGUGCAAACACGAAAGUGGACGUAUACGGUGUGACGCCUGCCCGGUGCUGGAAGGUUAAUUGAUGGGGUUAUCCUUAGGGAGAAGCUCUUGAUCGAAGCCCCAGUAAACGGCGGCCGUAACUAUAACGGUCCUAAGGUAGCGAAAUUCCUUGUCGGGUAAGUUCCGACCUGCACGAAUGGCGUAAUGAUGGCCAGGCUGUCUCCACCCGAGACUCAGUGAAAUUGAACUCGCUGUGAAGAUGCAGUGUACCCGCGGCAAGACGGAAAGACCCCGUGAACCUUUACUAUAGCUUGACACUGAACAUUGAGCCUUGAUGUGUAGGAUAGGUGGGAGACUAUGAAAUGUGGACGCCAGUCUGCAUGGAGUCAACCUUGAAAUACCACCCUUUAACGUUUGAUGUUCUAACCUAGGUCCAUAAUCUGGAUCGGGGACCGUGUCUGGUGGGUAGUUUGACUGGGGCGGUCUCCUCCUAAAGAGUAACGGAGGAGCACGAAGGUUGGCUAAGCAUGGUCGGACAUCAUGCGGUUAGUGCAAAGGCAUAAGCCAGCUUGACUGUGAGAGUGACGGCUCGAGCAGGUACGAAAGUAGGUCUUAGUGAUCCGGUGGUUCUGAAUGGAAGGGCCAUCGCUCAACGGAUAAAAGGUACUCCGGGGAUAACAGGCUGAUACCGCCCAAGAGUUCAUAUCGACGGCGGUGUUUGGCACCUCGAUGUCGGCUCAUCACAUCCUGGGGCUGAAGUAGGUCCCAAGGGUAUGGCUGUUCGCCAUUUAAAGUGGUACGCGAGCUGGGUUUAGAACGUCGUGAGACAGUUCGGUCCCUAUCUGCCGUGGGCGUUGGAAGAUUGAGAGGGGUUGCUCCUAGUACGAGAGGACCGGAGUGAACGCACCACUGGUGUUCGGGUUGUCAUGCCAAUGGCAUUGCCCGGUAGCUAAGUGCGGAAGAGAUAACCGCUGAAAGCAUCUAAGCGGGAAACUUGCCUCGAGAUGAGUCUUCCCUGUCACCUAGAGUGACCUAAAGGAACGUUUAAGACUAAGACGUUGAUAGGCUGGGUGUGUAAGCGUAGCGAUACGUUGAGCUAACCAGUACUAAUGAACCGUGAGGCUUAACC